UACAGAGGGGGCAAGCGUUGUUCGGAAUUACUGGGCGUAAAGGGCGCGUAGGCGGCCUGCUAAGUCGAACGUGAAAUCCCCGGGCUCAACCCGGGAACUGCGUCCGAUACUGGCAGGCUUGAAUUCGGGAGAGGGAUGUGGAAUUCCAGGUGUAGCGGUGAAAUGCGUAGAUAUCUGGAGGAACACCGGUGGCGAAGGCGGCAGCCUGGACCGAUAUUGACGCUGAUGCGCGAAAGCCAGGGGAGCAAACGGG
rnacentral:rRNA from 1 species